CUCCCCCGCUCGGCCUGUUCUCAUGCCUGUCCCCCCCCACCUGCUGGGACCCUGAUCCCAGGCAGAGCCACGCUUCGGCGGGGGCACAAUUACUGCCGGCCCCAGGCUUUGAUCAUCUGACCACUUGGAUGCGCGACGGCUGACCACAUGCUUGGAGAAGGAGAAGAAACUGAGGGAAAGGAAGAAAAAGGGAGAAGAAGGGCUGCCGUGAAAGAAAAGGACCAAAAACCCGGCUGCCCGCAUUUUGGCUAACUGGCCCGCUCCUUCAGCUGCACGUUUGGGAUAAUUGCUCUAAUGAAAUGUAUAUUAACAUUUCUAAUUACGGUUAUUAUGCGUGGAGUCCCUUGGGAAUGCUUUUAAAUGGUUUGGGCUUGGCCUGUGUGGAGAUUGGUUUGAGUGCGAUUUGUUUAGGAUGCGGCAGAGAGGCUAAAGUGCGCGGGGCUAGCGAAAAAACGUGCUAAUGGGUCCGAGCGGCGGCCUGUCAGUCAGCACCGCUUCCCUGGCUGCAGCCGUCCCCCCGCAAAGUCGGCUUGUUGACCGACGGAGGCCACCGUUGCCAACCCUGCCGAGUUUGUUUGAGGGAGCGUCCGUUAAAGCUGACGCCUCAGACGUUGUUGGCUACAUUUCCGCCUUUAAAUAACUGUUGUGUGUUUGUGUGUGUUUGCAUGAAUGUGUAUGUGUGUGUGUGUUCAUGCCCGAGAGUGUGUCAGUUAAAAUAGCCAUUCAGUGGUCUGAAAUGCGACAUGCCAAGGCAAAAUAAAAAUGGAUUAAAAUUUUUUAUGUAAUAUAUUGACAGCUUUGAUACUGUGCAAUGUAUUCAUCCUUGACUUAUGUAAUUAUAUUGAAUCAAAUCAAAAUGAAAUGUAAAGUGUUGUCUGUCAUAUUUUGACACUUUUUCUUUUUUACUACUGAGCAAAAGAGGUGCAGAAUCAGAGAAUGAAACUGAAGCCAUUACAGUCCAUUCAGCCUUGAUUCACUUUGUCUUUUAGUGUCAGCAAUUAAUUCACCAACAUUUAUUUAAGAACACUUGCUUGAGUGCAAUGCAGAAAAUUGAAGACCAAUUUCAGCUUGAUUGGAUCUACCGCGACUCAAUGAUAACUGUCUUGAACAGCAGGUGGCAAUAUCUUUGAGCCUCCUGUGACAGAUCAAAAUUAACGCAUAAAGCUGUAGAUGAUGUACGUCUUCAAAGUAUCACCCCGGUCUCACAUUGUCCUGCAAUAUGCACACGAAACGGUGCCGUGUAACUGACAGAGGAGUGUACACGGGUGUCAGUAUCGAGUGUCUCGGAGGGAACGACUCCCUGUUAACACAAUAAACAGGAACUAUCUUUGAAAUGUCCGCCGCGAACAAACAUUUCCUGGGUCCGAGCUGGGCGGGGCCGCACGUGCUCUAUGGUUCCCAUUAGGCCGGGAUCAGAGGCUGGGGCUGUUUAUUUGAGCUGUUCUCAGGGCCCUGCCUCUCCCAGCGACGCUCUUGUUUGGUCGAUCGCGUUACAACUUGAGGGGUGUAUGAAAGGAACCUCUUCACUGGGGCCAAGGCCCUUGACUGAAUUACAGGGGCUGUUUUGACUGGCUGCCGUCCCCCAUUCCGACCGCACUGUCGACAGGCGGAAAGGACCCGAGCGUGAGGACGGCCAAACAGGACGGACGCGUGUACGCCGUACUCACGCCCGCACAGAAACAGCCACACACACUACACACGCGCACACACACUGUGCGCACAUACAUGAAGGAACAUGGACGCCCAAACAAGAUAGACACAUGUAUGGCCUGCACACGCCCCUCACAGAAACAGUCACACUCACUACACAUGUACAUGCGGGAACAUACACACAUGAUCACAAAUACAUGCACAUGCACAGUUAUAGAUGCAAACACUGUGCACACACACUUUCUCUGAGUUUAAUUUUGCUGUACGUGUUAAGAACACAAGUUAAUUUGAAGCAGACAUGUAUAUUGAAAUGUAAUUCUAAGGCAAAUUACUGAUGCUUUUCCUGAGAAUAUUACAUUUUACCCUCUGUAAUACUAUUCUAAGAAAUUAUAAUGCAAAAAAUGUGUUGUAGUACAGAAAGAGAAUAUUCAUUCUGUUGCCUGUAUUUUAAUGGUCACAACUAUUUAGAGAUUGCAGAGAAUUGAAAAUUAUUUUAAAAUUGAACGUUUUUUUUCUCAGAAAACUUGCCAUUUGUGAGGGAACCUGCAAAGAAAGUAGGCUCAUUCAAGUUUUGAUUUGUAUGUUUUAAGUGUUGAUAAGGUUUUUGAGAUUUCUGCUAGCUUCCUAUUAAUAUUAGAAUGGCAGAAAUGAUGGCUUCUUUUAUAAACCAAUCAGAAACAUUUUUGGCGGUGAUUUGUGUAGCUGUUGUUGGAUUGAGGAGAAAAUCCAGCCCAGCCUUGUAAUAGAGAGGCAAUCCAGCCAGGAAAACACUUCACACUAGAUGAUGCAAACAUAAUGGUCUUUAUUUCUGCAGCAAAAGUAUACUUCCUGAAGAAGGCGUAAAAAUGGCUAUGUAGCCGCAUGAGUGUUUGUGCCACUUGCAACCAUCUUGCUGGGUGGAAAAAUUCUACUUUGUUUUCUUGACUGGCCGCCCGCAUCUGUUAUCUCAUGCACUCUCUUCACCUGCCUGUUCAAGGAGUGGAAGAUAGGACACGGCUUUUAUUAUUAGGACAUCUGAACCACAAAAAACCAGCUCUGAUUGGAUGAAAAUUAAAAGCAUGUUUGAAUAGAAUAGAAUAAAACAAUUAUAUAGCCUCUAAAGUAUAACAACAGUAUGGAUAAAAACGUUAUCUCUUCACAAUGUGUCUGACUGAAUUGUGCCUUGCCUUUCUAUUUGGCAAAUUGUUUUAAGGAUUUACCACCCUUGGAAGCCUUGGUAUAAAAAUGAAAUUGAUUGGUCAAUUUAUUGAGUUAAACAGGGAAACAGACUGAACUACCAGCCCUCGCAGGCAUCUUUACCAAAGUGGAUGGGAUUAGAGGUGAAAGAAAAAGUGGGCAGUUUACUCUAAUGACCAUACUGCGUCAGUAAUAGACCGACCCAAAGCGUGCGUUAUUUUGUAAGCAUUGUCUUCCGAUAAUAAAGAGCAUGUCUUUUCUGUGAUGUUUUUGCCAAUUAUACUCCUUCAGCCCUGUGCUAAAGGGCUUUUCAUUAAGCGGGGCCACAUAAUGGUGUCAAAAUCCAUUUUGAAAUGCUGUAAUGCAACAGUUUACAAGUCCCCAUAAACCCCCAACUAGCUGCCAUAAUGAGCAGCAAUCAUGAAUGGAAACUUUGGAGUUUCUUGCUUCCCCUGUUCUGAGAGAAUCCAAACACAAGACGCGACACAAAGCAAAGGUCAAGUAAAAAGAGAAAAAGGCCUUGAUUGGUCCUCCAUGGCAUUAAGUAGCCGAGGAGUGGCUGGGUUCAGGCCUGAGCUUUGUGUCCUGCGAUGUAGGCGCGUUCUUUCAUUCGCUAUUGUGAAACCGAGGCCGUUUGUGUUUUAGGUAGCUGGGCUGGGCCGAGGGACGGAACACUCGCAGACAAACCUGGUGUCACACGGGCUGGGGUCAGAGGUCAAGUUGGACGGAGGAGAUUAAGCCACUCUGUGAAGUCUCCAUUGUACGGAUGUCUUCUGUUUCGGCAGCCAUUCGGAGAUGACAUCAUAUUUUUCCCCCCAAGACAAAGAGGAAUUUAAUUGCUGCUUGCUGAGCUUAGGGAAUCAAAUCUGCCAAUCAGUCAUGCAGUGCGAUUGUCUUCUCAACACAUUAACAGUAAGCCACGCCCUGCCCUUCCAAAACCCUCCCUACUUCUCCAAAGACAUCUUUGAAGUAGAUGAUUUAAUGACAGUAUGGGUCUUCCGGAUGGCAGUAUAGUACCAGGCUGUGGGCAUGUGUGUGAGUGCGUGCAUGUGUGUGAGUAAGUGUGUGCAAGUGUGUUUGCAUGUGUGUUUAUGUGUGUGUGUGUGCAUGCGUGCAUGUGUGUGUGUGUGUGUGUAUGUGCAUGAGAAAGAAAGAGAGAUGGGAGGGAGUUUGAAGACAUGAGCGUUAUGGAUUUCCCAUACCGAAAUGAAUAAAAGGACUGAGCAAUUCUUGUCCUCAUAGGUAAAGCAUGAUAGAAAGAAGAUACAGAAAAGAGUGGAUCCUCAGAAGUACAUGUCUCCUGGGCAUGACAUUCUGAAGGCCUCACUUCAGUCAAUGAUUUGUUUUUAGAUUCAUCAAAAAUAUAUCCAUCCCAAUGAGAUUUA